GGAUGUGAGGGCUAUCUGGCUGCAGCAUCUGUCACCCCAUUGAUAGGAUUGAUUCGGCUGAUCCAGCUGUUGAGGUGGCUGUCCCCUUCCUCCCUCACCACUCCCUGUGCGUCCUCCCAAAGCUGCACACUCAGUUAUAGAUGACAAUCUUCCCCGCUAGAGAAGGACCGGUCUUCGGCCAAGGGUAUACCAGUAGCUGCGUUCCCUGCUUAAACCUCCAAACAGGCUUUCAAGGUCCACAGGGGACGACAGCACAACAGGUGGUUACUUGAUUUGCUACAACCACAGCCCUGGCCACUCCCCUUCAAGUUUCU
rnacentral:snRNA from 1 species